rnacentral:rRNA from 1 species
AGCGUACACGGUGGAUGCCCUGGCAGUCAGAGGCGAUGAAGGACGUGCUAAUCUGCGAUAAGCGUCGGUAAGGUGAUAUGAACCGUUAUAACCGGCGAUUUCCGAAUGGGGAAACCCAGUGUGAUUCGUCACACUAUCAUUAACUGAAUCCAUAGGUUAAUGAGGCGAACCGGGGGAACUGAAACAUCUAAGUACCCCGAGGAAAAGAAAUCAACCGAGAUUCCCCCAGUAGCGGCGAGCGAACGGGGAGCAGCCCAGAGCCUGAAUCAGUGUGUGUGUUAGUGGAAGCGUCUGGAAAGGCGCGCGAUACAGGGUGACAGCCCCGUACACAAAAAUGCACAUGCUGUGAGCUCGAUGAGUAGGGCGGGACACGUGGUAUCCUGUCUGAAUAUGGGGGGACCAUCCUCCAAGGCUAAAUACUCCUGACUGACCGAUAGUGAACCAGUACCGUGAGGGAAAGGCGAAAAGAACCCCGGCGAGGGGAGUGAAAAAGAACCUGAAACCGUGUACGUACAAGCAGUGGGAGCACGCUUAGGCGUGUGACUGCGUACCUUUUGUAUAAUGGGUCAGCGACUUAUAUUCUGUAGCAAGGUUAACCGAAUAGGGGAGCCGAAGGGAAACCGAGUCUUAACUGGGCGUUAAGUUGCAGGGUAUAGACCCGAAACCCGGUGAUCUAGCCAUGGGCAGGUUGAAGGUUGGGUAACACUAACUGGAGGACCGAACCGACUAAUGUUGAAAAAUUAGCGGAUGACUUGUGGCUGGGGGUGAAAGGCCAAUCAAACCGGGAGAUAGCUGGUUCUCCCCGAAAGCUAUUUAGGUAGCGCCUCGUGAACUCAUCUUCGGGGGUAGAGCACUGUUUCGGCUAGGGGGUCAUCCCGACUUACCAACCCGAUGCAAACUGCGAAUACCGAAGAAUGUUAUCACGGGAGACACACGGCGGGUGCUAACGUCCGUCGUGAAGAGGGAAACAACCCAGACCGCCAGCUAAGGUCCCAAAGUCAUGGUUAAGUGGGAAACGAUGUGGGAAGGCCCAGACAGCCAGGAUGUUGGCUUAGAAGCAGCCAUCAUUUAAAGAAAGCGUAAUAGCUCACUGGUCGAGUCGGCCUGCGCGGAAGAUGUAACGGGGCUAAACCAUGCACCGAAGCUGCGGCAGCGACACUAUGUGUUGUUGGGUAGGGGAGCGUUCUGUAAGCCUGUGAAGGUGUGCUGUGAGGCAUGCUGGAGGUAUCAGAAGUGCGAAUGCUGACAUAAGUAACGAUAAAGCGGGUGAAAAGCCCGCUCGCCGGAAGACCAAGGGUUCCUGUCCAACGUUAAUCGGGGCAGGGUGAGUCGACCCCUAAGGCGAGGCCGAAAGGCGUAGUCGAUGGGAAACAGGUUAAUAUUCCUGUACUUGGUGUUACUGCGAAGGGGGGACGGAGAAGGCUAUGUUGGCCGGGCGACGGUUGUCCCGGUUUAAGCGUGUAGGCUGGUUUUCCAGGCAAAUCCGGAAAAUCAAGGCUGAGGCGUGAUGACGAGGCACUACGGUGCUGAAGCAACAAAUGCCCUGCUUCCAGGAAAAGCCUCUAAGCAUCAGGUAACAUCAAAUCGUACCCCAAACCGACACAGGUGGUCAGGUAGAGAAUACCAAGGCGCUUGAGAGAACUCGGGUGAAGGAACUAGGCAAAAUGGUGCCGUAACUUCGGGAGAAGGCACGCUGAUAUGUAGGUGAAGUCCCUCGCGGAUGGAGCUGAAAUCAGUCGAAGAUACCAGCUGGCUGCAACUGUUUAUUAAAAACACAGCACUGUGCAAACACGAAAGUGGACGUAUACGGUGUGACGCCUGCCCGGUGCCGGAAGGUUAAUUGAUGGGGUUAGCGCAAGCGAAGCUCUUGAUCGAAGCCCCGGUAAACGGCGGCCGUAACUAUAACGGUCCUAAGGUAGCGAAAUUCCUUGUCGGGUAAGUUCCGACCUGCACGAAUGGCGUAAUGAUGGCCAGGCUGUCUCCACCCGAGACUCAGUGAAAUUGAACUCGCUGUGAAGAUGCAGUGUACCCGCGGCAAGACGGAAAGACCCCGUGAACCUUUACUAUAGCUUGACACUGAACAUUGAGCCUUGAUGUGUAGGAUAGGUGGGAGGCUUUGAAGUGUGGACGCCAGUCUGCAUGGAGCCGACCUUGAAAUACCACCCUUUAAUGUUUGAUGUUCUAACGUUGACCCGUAAUCCGGGUUGCGGACAGUGUCUGGUGGGUAGUUUGACUGGGGCGGUCUCCUCCUAAAGAGUAACGGAGGAGCACGAAGGUUGGCUAAUCCUGGUCGGACAUCAGGAGGUUAGUGCAAUGGCAUAAGCCAGCUUGACUGCGAGCGUGACGGCGCGAGCAGGUGCGAAAGCAGGUCAUAGUGAUCCGGUGGUUCUGAAUGGAAGGGCCAUCGCUCAACGGAUAAAAGGUACUCCGGGGAUAACAGGCUGAUACCGCCCAAGAGUUCAUAUCGACGGCGGUGUUUGGCACCUCGAUGUCGGCUCAUCACAUCCUGGGGCUGAAGUAGGUCCCAAGGGUAUGGCUGUUCGCCAUUUAAAGUGGUACGCGAGCUGGGUUUAGAACGUCGUGAGACAGUUCGGUCCCUAUCUGCCGUGGGCGCUGGAGAACUGAGGGGGGCUGCUCCUAGUACGAGAGGACCGGAGUGGACGCAUCACUGGUGUUCGGGUUGUCAUGCCAAUGGCACUGCCCGGUAGCUAAAUGCGGAAGAGAUAAGUGCUGAAAGCAUCUAAGCACGAAACUUGCCCCGAGAUGAGUUCU